GCGUAACGGGCGCGUGAUCCGGCGUCCUGCGGGUCUUCCCCUCCCCAGGGGCACCCAGCAUGCUUUGGGCACGUGGCAGCUCAUGUCCUAAAUAGGAGUAGUCCUGGGCCGCUAUCCUGUGAGGGUGGAGACGCUCCCCGAGACUGGACAGACACCGAGAGGUGGAGCUGAGCCAAUACGAGGCUAAGGGAAUUCCAUGUAUUCCAGUUAUCCUGAGCUCACGUACAGCAGAGGAUACCCCCGAGUUUCACCGCCAUCUCUUACUAGGAUUCCAGGAUCCCUUUCAAGGCUUCUACCUGGAGCAACUGCCCACAGUUCUGCCUUAAGAGUGCCUGAGAGACCUGGCAUCUCACAGCCUGCCCUCCAAAUCAUCACUCACUCUGCCAGGCACACCAGGUCUUCCUCCCCUUCCUCGCCGCACCAAAGAAAUCAAAACCCAAACUGAGAAUACUAGAAAGCAUCACCGUACAGCACGGAAAGAAAUAAUGAAAACAAACCAACAGCCACACACUUGGACUCACCCAGACCCAGGAGCCAGGAGUGUGGGUGAUUGUCAAGUUUGGGGACGGGUCAGCUCUUGGCUGGCCCAUCCCUCCCUUCUUCCCUCUUUCUGGGACUUGAAUGGGGGUAGAGAAUUCAGAUUCUCCUUGGGAAUCUCAGCCCUCCUGCCCCAUUACAUCCCACCCCUUCUGCUUAUGUAGAGGCAGACAGGGUAGAACAAGGAGCUCCCAGCCUCUUAGGAGAGCCUACAUUCCCCCACAGGGGUUCCAGAGAGUUAGGUAAAAAUAGAGAGAGAGAUAGAUUUAGAUACUUUUCCAUCAUUUCUGUCUCUCCAAACAAAUAAAUAACGAGCAAGAGAAGGUG
rnacentral:lncRNA from 1 species